CCCUUAGAUGUCCGGGGCCGCACGCGCGCUACACUGAAGGAAUCAGCGUGGCUUUCUCCCUGACCCGAAAGGGUUGGGAAACCCGUUGAAUCUCCUUCGUGAUAGGGAUUGGGGCUUGAAAUUGUUCCCCAUGAACGAGGAAUUCCCAGUAAGCGCGAGUCAUAAGCUCGCGUUGAUUACGUCCCUGCCCUUUGUACACACCGUCCGUCGCUACUACCGAUUGAACGGUUUAGUGAGGGCCUCGGAUUGGUCUCGGCCCGCUCUUUACCGGGCGGCGCCGUUGGUCGAGAAGACGCUCGAACUUGAUCGUUUAGAGGAAGUAAAAGUCGUAACA
rnacentral:rRNA from 1 species